rnacentral:misc_RNA from 1 species
GAAAUGCGAUACUUAAUGUGAAACGCAACGCAGUGUGAAUCAUCAAGGUUUCGAACGCACAUUGCGCUGUUCGGGUCUUCCCGGACAGCAUGCCUGUUUGAGCAUCGUUUCUAACCCUCACCAUCACACUUACCCUGUGAUGCUGGACGCUGAGUGCCUCACUUUCGCUCUUUUGCGAGAGUGGGCCACUUGAAAUGGAGACCCCUUUCUGGAUGCGAGCUCCGAAUGGUGCUUUGCUUCUUGUGCUGUGACGGGUUUUUCGAAACCCCCUGCGACACUCGAUGGCACGAGUCUAUUCCUCGCAUCAUAACCUACACGAAGGAGAGGACCGAGAAACCCUACUCAACACAGCGUCGUCACGCGUAAAGCGCGGCGCGCGCUGCGAUAUAAUCGCGAUCUC